rnacentral:rRNA from 1 species
UACGUAGGUGGCAAGCGUUGCUCGGAAUUACUGGGCGUAAAGCGCACGUAGGCGGCUUUCUAAGUCGGGGGUGAAAUCCUGGAGCUCAACUCCAGAACUGCCUUCGAUACUGGAGAGCUUGAGUCCGGGAGAGGUGAGUGGAACUGCGAGUGUAGAGGUGAAAUUCGUAGAUAUUCGCAAGAACACCAGUGGCGAAGGCGGCUCACUGGCCCGGUACUGACGCUGAGGUGCGAAAGCGUGGGGAGCAAACAGG